AUCCAGCUGACGAGUUCCAAAUAGGAUGAAACACGCGUCAAACUGGAU
rnacentral:hammerhead_ribozyme from 1 species